AAAUCAUCAGUCUAAAAGAGGGUGUCUUGUCCUGCUCCUGAAAUCUGCUUCUGCAUUCAACCCAGUAUUCAGCAACAGAGCAUUGGGAAUCGCAGGAGGAAUGUAGUCUCCCACCUCCAGCCACUACUGCCUCCAAGUUACAGUAUGCAGAGGUCUACCCAAGUCCCCACCAAAAUAUGCCCUGACGCACCAGAAAACCUGUGCCACUGCUACCAAGAAGCAAAACGCAAAAACGCAGCACAAGCCACCACGUAACGAUGAGAAUUAUCUUGGUCUCACAUGGCUUAACGCUGUAGCAUGAGGGCUUGAGUUGUCCUUCAGUUUCUUAAUUGAGGGAUCUGCCCCCCACCACACCAAAUUUAUGCAAAGGAUCAGACACUUUUCCUGAGACAGAUGCAAGUACGAAACUCUCCAUUUAGAAUUUUGGUUUAAAGUUUGGUAGAAAUUAGAUAGUGUUUAGGUUGCCUUACAAAUGUGUGCCUUACAAGCCCACACACACUACAAUCUGCUCCAAUGCACCAGAAAACCUGUGCCAGUAUCACUUAGGAGCAAAAGGCUAAAACGCCCUGCAAGCCACCAUGUAUUGAUGGUGAGGGGAAACGGCAAACUAAAACGCCCUGCAAGCCACCAAGUAUUACAGGGGAGGACCCUUCGCUACGUAAGCCAACCCCUUAUUCUCCAUCUUGAUCGAUGUACAGUAUUGUUGGUACAAUUGUUGUCCAAUAUUUUAAUGCAGACAAUCUUGAGCUUACAAGCUCCAGGGAUAGGUCAUGUGGGAGACGGAGAUCUCAUUCUGCCUGUUCAGAUGAGGAAGCCCCUUCACCAAAACCCUGCAAAAAGUCACAUCCUUUUCCUAUGCUGGAAGCAACUAUGACACUUUUUUUUCACAGCCAUUUUAAAUAAUAUUGAAAUUAGGGCGUUUAUUUGGAAGUGAACACAUGUAAAACUACUUUGUUUCAGAAAAGUGUCCUAGAUCUCCUUUAGAAGAUCCGUGACCUUCUAAAGGAGUCUGGUUGAGGUAUUUUGACUUCAACCUAAACGAGACAAAGGAGGAUUUAAUAAAGAUGGAAGAGCAGAUAAUAGAGAAUCAAAUGUAAUGUUUCAUUGGUAUGAGUUGAAUAACAUUAUAUUGCCAUAUCAGGAAUCAAGGUAA